rnacentral:lncRNA from 1 species
GCGCUGAUGUUUGAACUGGAAACUUCAACUUUUGAAAGAAUCUUCAGGAUAGCUUUGAACUCCACAGUUCUAGAAGCUGUAUAGAUACUCGUGGAACUGAGAGGUCUGCAAGAAAGGGAAAUGGCACUUACCUGUUGACUAAAAAUGAAAUUUCAAGUGGCAGUUGUGACAAAAGACUCUUAAUCUUUCCACACCUGGAUUCACUGGAUUGGGGAUACAGCUGGAGAACAAGAAGUGAUACUGGAAAGGGGAACCCAAAUGAAGAGGAUGAGGCCUGCUGGAGAGUAAAUGGCCGCCUCCACCUCUCCAGGGACAAAGUCAGCCUCUUGGUGGAGUUAUUUUUUUCUUUAUGAUGGUUCCAAGGUGAAGGAGGAAGGAGAUCCAACCAGAGCUGGCAUUUGUUACUUUUAUCCUUCUCAGACCGUUCUGGACUGUCAGGAGCUGCUCUGUGGGCAGAUUGCUGGAGUUGUCCGCUGUGUCUCUGACAUUUCUGGCUCUUCUCCCACUCUCAUUCGCCUGCGGAAACUGAAGUUUGCCGUAAAGGUUGAAGAAGAUUACCUCUGGGUGCUGGGCUGUGCUGUGGAGCUCCCCGAUAUCAGCUGCAAGCAGUUCCUAGAUCAGCUCAUUGGAUUCUUUAAUUUUUACAAUGGUCCCGUUUCCCUGGCUUAUAAGAACCAUUCUCAGGAGGAACUGAGUUUGCAGUGGGACACUUUCAUUGAGCAAGUUCUGAAAAACACCAGUGAUCUGCAUAAGAUAUUCAAUUCCCUCUGGAACCUGGAUCAAACCAAAGUGGAGCCCCUGCUGUUGCUGAAGGCAGCCCUCAUUUUGCAGACCUGCCAGCGCUCGCCUCACAUUCUAGCUGGCUGCAUCCUGUAUAAAGGACUGAUUGUAAGCACCCAGCUGGCACCCUCCCUCACUGCCAAGAUCCUGCUUCACAGACCUGCACCUCUGGACCAGAGACUACCUGCAGCAGGGGACGCACCACGGGACCCAGGAGCAGCAUUCCCCCUGAAUGUCCAGAUCACCCCCGUUUUCCUGACCGAAGAGGAAGCUGCCAGUCUCCAUGAGUUCCCAGUGGAGCAGAUGCCCAGGCCAGCCAGACUUCAGGAUGGCACAGUCCAGCAUCUUGCAAAGGAUUGGAGCACAUCUGCUUUAAAAAAAGAUGCCGCCAGGCAAGUGGCCUCUGAGGCUCAGAUGUCAGCUGCCACCCUGGACCCCAUGUCCCCUGACAGAGUGUGGCCAAAUGGCAAGGGAGAGAAUGGACAUUUACCUGGCCAUGAGAUGGAGGACUGGGGGCCCACAGGACUACACACUACUGCCAAGGAACCAGGCUUUCCCCAGGAGGAGACUGACUUGUCUGAAAUCCACAUUCCAGAAGCUCAGGAAGUAGGAGGAUCCUCAGGUCAUUAUACCUUCCUACAAAUGUAUGCCCCGGGUGGCAGAGGUCUUUACCAUGAGCACCCUGUCAGUGAUGCCAGCAACCUGGAACCCAUGCCAUCUGAGGACAUGGCUACCAGCUGCAGUCUCUCUGCCUCACUUGAUGUGCUCACCCAGAAUGGAGCCCAAGAGCAGCAUGAAGACCUUCCUGGUACCAGCAACCACAGCCUUGUUCCUGGAACAGACCCCCUCCCCACACAGACCAGCUGGCCAUUGUCGCCUCACCCAGAUCCAGAGCAGAAAGGAAGCAAGCUUCUUGGGGGGCACCAAGGUGUAGAUCAGCAGGUUGAUGGAGUCCGUGAGAGCCUCGCAGCCACUGGUUUACAAUGCAUUUCAGAUUCAGCAGACUCCCAGGGUGAUAACCCCUCUACAGACAGAGCUGACCCCAGGCUGACCCCAGUAGGGGGCCCCAUGAGACUCGUGCAGAUGAACCUCUACACUCACAGUGUUAAGGGGUUGAUGCUGUCGCUGCUGGCUGAGGCACCACUGCUAAGAGACAGCUCAGCCAUCGAGGAGGUGUACCACAGCAGCCUGGCGUCCCUGAAUGGACUGGAGGUGCACCUGAAGGAGACGCUGCCCAGAGACCAAGCUGGUCCCUCAGCCAGCACCUACAGCUUCGUGCACCACGACCACAUCCAGAACGUGCUCACGGCCAACCUUCCCCCGGUGGCCUCAGCCCAAGACCGCCACUUCCUCCAAGCCAUCAGCCUCAUGCACUCGGACUUCGCCCAGCAGCCCACACUGUACGAGAUGACCGUCAGGAACGCCUCCACGGCUGUGUAUGCCUGCUGCAGCCCUGCCCAAGAGACCUACUUCCAGCCACUGAUGUCCGACACCCGGAGCUCCGGCUUCCCGAACCCACAGGAUGGAGCCUUCAGCCUGGCGGGCAAAGCCAAGCAGAAGCUGCUGAAGCAUGGAGUAAACUUGCUGUGA